rnacentral:lncRNA from 1 species
CUCACCUGCCUGUCGCCCGGUCUCGCUCGGGCUUCGCGAAGGGGCUGCGGAUCCUACCCUCGUCACUGGAGUGGCCCGGACCGACGCCUGCACGUGAGGAGCCCGGGGUCCCAGGCCCGCGACUGGAGCAGGGGUGCUGAUGCCGGCAGCUGUCCGCGGGUCAGGCCCCGCGGCCCCGGGGCUCAGGAAGUAGAAGGGGUUGUAAUAGCCCAGCUGCGGGGGCGGCGGCGCCGCGGCCUGGGGGACUGCAGCGCCGCCCGAAGGGAAGCUCUGCGGGGAGGGCUGGGGGCUGCAGUAGGCUGGGAAGGCGGCCAGGCCGCUGUGCCAGGUGAGGUAGCCGCAGUAGGACUGCCACAGCCACUCGUGCACUUGCCGGGAGUACUCGCGGGCGCUCAGCCGAGCUGGUCUCUCUCGUGGCGCCGCGGCUUCGGGCGCCUCGCAGCCCGCCUGCUCCUGCAGCUCUGCACCGGAGCCGGAGGCCGCCUCCCCGCGCUUCCUGAGCUCGCGCGGCGGCUCCAAUUUGUCGGCUGCGGCGGCAGCCGCGAGGCCCGGGGCUGUGGGCCGGCCCGGGGCCUGGGGUUCGGCCUGGGGGUCGUCGCGGGGGCAUGGGACGGCGGUGGUAGGAGGGCCUCUCAGGGAAGGGACGGGCUCGUGGUCCCCUCCGCCAUCGUCCUGCCCGGGAGGGUGGCCUCGGGCUUCCUCGGGCCCCUCGGCCAUCGUCGCCUCAGCAGCACCCUCUGGGAUACCUGUCACUGCUCCGUUUCCCUCCCCCAAUGGCCCCUCCCCAACAGCCCCGUCACCACCGCAGCAACCGCAGGCGUCAACAAUCCCCCGCCGGAAGCGGAAGCCCCGCCCCUCAGGAGCAACGCCCGCCGCCAGGCGGAGCUGGGAAGGGAGGGCGGGGAGGUGCGUCUGCAGUCCCGGGUUCGGGCCCUAGUAGUCGGUGGCUGGUCGGUGACUGGGACCAGACCGUCGCCUCCUCCCUUUUACAGCUUUAAGUCUGUGACCCGAGGCCUCUCUGUAUAUUCCCGUGGGGUUGGGCCUAGUUGUCCUGGGAGAAACUAGAUGGAUGAGGAGUAUUUCCGAGACAGGUCCCAGGGCCAGCGCAGCCUUUUCUGUUGCAGAACCGCGACUGUUGUUUUGGGAUCCAGGCCGGAGGGUUUGUUGCUUGUGUUCAUUCCAGUUAACCAUUAGUACUCGAGAAGGUGGUACAGAACGCAUCUAUCCCCUUAGAAGAAAAGAAAUUAAAAGCCAAACUAAACUGGGAUAUAUAUUAAUAUAGGAAACUACCACUGAGACAUAGGAAAGUGUAUUAAAAUAUAACUAGUGAGGUGCUAUGUAUAAUUCAGAGGAAGGGGAAAUUAUGCAUGGGCCAGACUACUAACAAAAGGCUCCAAAGCCUGGGAUACGCUGAGGGCCUUUCCAUAACAGAAAAUGAAAAGGAACCUAAAUUUGAGACUAGAUUUGAGGAAAGGCACAGUUGCGCUGGAGUAGAAAGCGUCUGUCUACCGCAGUGGAAACGAUAUGUUAUUGUAUCCCCAGCACCAUACAAAGGACAUACAAGGGCCAAAUACUGUGGGAAUAUUUAUUAAUGAUAUUAAUGAUGAUGCUGUCCGGGCCAAAGGAAAACUUCCGCUUCACCUUCUGAAGUUUCGCUGAAAGUCACUGACAGGAGGCAGUUAAUAGGAGAAAAGACAUAGACAUUGAUUUGACCAUCGUUUUAUGUGACACGGGAGCCUUCAGAAUGAAGACCCAAAGAUAACAAGGGAAAUCGUGUAUUUGUAUGCUUAGGUUCAACAAAGCAUGGACAGCCGUAUAAAAAAAUGACUGGACAAGGCCGGGCGCGGUGGCUCACGCCUGUAAUCUCAGCACUUUGGGAGGCUGAGGCGGGCGGAUCACAAGGUCAGGAGAUCGAGACCAUCCUGGCUAACACAGUGAAACCCCGUCUCUACUAAAAAUACUAAAAAUUAGCCAGGCGUGGUGGCGGGCGCCUGUAGUCCCAGCUACUCAGGAGGCUGAGGCAGGAGAAUGGCGUGAACCCGGGAGGCGGAGCUUGCAGUGAGCCGAGAUUGCGUCACCGCACUCCAGCCUGGGCGACAGAGCGAGACUCCGUCUCAAAAAAAAUGACUGGACAAAAAACACUCUGAUGCAAACAGGCAAGAAACCCAGCAAGGCCUAUCUGGAUUCUCCUUGGCCUGUCUGCAGCAUUCAUUCCUUCUGGGUAUGGAACAGGACCCUCUGGAAUGGGGGCUGUGGCCUACAACAGUUAAACAAGUGAACUAAAGGGCUCCCAAAAUCUCUCCUGCAGCAUUUUCCUUGAGAAGGAGGAAGGUUUGCAUCUCUAAAUCUCUCUCUGGGAACAGUGUGGAAGAUGGAUUGAAAUGGUGUAAAAUUGAAGAUGUGGACUCCGGUUGGGAGACUACACCCUAGAUAAGAUGAAGAGAACUUGAAGCAAGACAAUAGCAAUGGGAAUAUAAAGGAGAGGAGACAUUUGAGUGAAAUUAAGGAAGCACAAUCUGCAGACUGUUUUCUUUUUUUUAAGAGUCAGGGUCUCCCUAUUUUGCCCAGGCUGGUCUCAAAGUCCUAGGCUCAAGCGACCCACCCACCUCAGCCUUCCAAAAUGCUGGAAUUACAGGGGUGAACUGCCUCACCAUGCCUCAGUCUGCAGAAUUUGAUGACUGAAUGUAUUUGGAGAGAGUCUGUGGCUUGGAUGACUGGAGACGGAGUUUCUCCAUUUUGGCCAGUUUGGUGUCGACCUCCCGGGCUUAAGCGAUCCACCCACCUCAGCCUCCCAAAGUGUUGGGAUUACAGGCGUGAGCCACUGUAUCCAGCUUGUGAUAUACUUUUAAUAAAUUUCUCUUAAA